UGGGGGAUAGUUUAGCGGUAGAACACCCGGCUCUGGACCGGGUAACCUAGGUUCGAAUCCUAGUCCCCCAGCCA
rnacentral:tRNA from 1 species